rnacentral:rRNA from 1 species
CAGCCGCCGCGGGAAUACGGAGGAUCCAAGCGUUAUCCGGAAUCAUUGGGUUUAAAGGGUCCGUAGGCGGUCUUGUAAGUCAGUGGUGAAAGCCCAUCGCUCAACGGUGGAACGGCCAUUGAUACUGCAGGACUUGAAUUAUUGGGAAGUAACUAGAAUAUGUAGUGUAGCGGUGAAAUGCUUAGAGAUUACAUGGAAUACCAAUUGCGAAGGCAGGUUACUACCAAUUGAUUGACGCUGAUGGACGAAAGCGUGGGUAGCGAACAGGAUUAGAUACCCGCGUAUCCCUGUCUCUUAUACA